rnacentral:rRNA from 1 species
GACGAACUCUGGCGGCGUGCUUAACACAUGCAAGUCGAACGGAAAGGCCCUGCUUUUGUGGGGUGCUCGAGUGGCGAACGGGUGAGUAACACGUGAGUAACCUGCCCUUGACUUUGGGAUAACUUCAGGAAACUGGGGCUAAUACCGGAUAGGAGCUCCUGCUGCAUGGUGGGGGUUGGAAAGUUUCGGCGGUUGGGGAUGGACUCGCGGCUUAUCAGCUUGUUGGUGGGGUAGUGGCUUACCAAGGCUUUGACGGGUAGCCGGCCUGAGAGGGUGACCGGCCACAUUGGGACUGAGAUACGGCCCAGACUCCUACGGGAGGCAGCAGUGGGGAAUAUUGCACAAUGGGCGGAAGCCUGAUGCAGCAACGCCGCGUGCGGGAUGACGGCCUUCGGGUUGUAAACCGCUUUCGCCUGUGACGAAGCGUGAGUGACGGUAAUGGGUAAAGAAGCACCGGCUAACUACGUGCCAGCAGCCGCGGUGAUACGUAGGGUGCGAGCGUUGUCCGGAUUUAUUGGGCGUAAAGGGUUCGUAGGUGGUUGAUCGCGUCGGAAGUGUAAUCUUGGGGCUUAACCCUGAGCGUGCUUUCGAUACGGGUUGACUUGAGGAAGGUAGGGGAGAAUGGAAUUCCUGGUGGAGCGGUGGAAUGCGCAGAUAUCAGGAGGAACACCAGUGGCGAAGGCGGUUCUCUGGGCCUUUCCUGACGCUGAGGAGCGAAAGCGUGGGGAGCGAACAGGCUUAGAUACCCUGGUAGUCCACGCUGUAAACGGUGGGUACUAGGUGUGGGGUCCAUUCCACGGGUUCCGUGCCGUAGCUAACGCUUUAAGUACCCCGCCUGGGGAGUACGGCCGCAAGGCUAAAACUCAAAGGAAUUGACGGGGCCCCACACAAGCGGCGGAGCAUGCGGAUUAAUUCGAUGCAACGCGUAGAACCUUACCUGGGUUUGACAUGGAUCGGGAGUGCUCAGAGAUGGGUGUGCCUCUUUUGGGGUCGGUUCACAGGUGGUGCAUGGCUGUCGCCAGCUCGUGUCGUGAGAUGUUGGGUUAAGUCCCGCAACGAGCGCAACCCUUGUUCACUGUUGCCAGCACGUUAUGGUGGGGACUCAGUGGAGACCGCCGGGGUCAACUCGGAGGAAGGUGGGGAUGACGUCAAGUCAUCAUGCCCCUUAUGUCCAGGGCUUCACGCAUGCUACAAUGGCUGGUACAGAGAGUGGCGAGCCUGUGAGGGUGAGCGAAUCUCGGAAAGCCGGUCUCAGUUCGGAUUGGGGUCUGCAACUCGACCUCAUGAAGUCGGAGUCGCUAGUAAUCGCAGAUCAGCAACGCUGCGGUGAAUACGUUCCCGGGGCU